rnacentral:rRNA from 1 species
GAUGAACGCUGGCGGCGUGCUUAACACAUGCAAGUCGAACGAAGCACUUUAACCUGAUUCUUCGGAUGAAGGUUUUUGUGCCUGAGUGGCGGACGGGUGAGUAACGCGUGGGUAACCUGCCUCAUACAGGGGGAUAACAGUUAGAAAUGACUGCUAAUACCGCAUAAGACCACAGAGCCGCAUGGCUCGGUGGGAAAAACUCCGGUGGUAUGAGAUGGACCCGCGUCUGAUUAGGUAGUUGGUGGGGUAACGGCCUACCAAGCCAACGAUCAGUAGCCGACCUGAGAGGGUGACCGGCUACAUUGGGACUGAGACACGGCCCAAACUCCUACGGGAGGCAGCAGUGGGGAAUAUUGCACAAUGGGGGAAACCCUGAUGCAGCGACGCCGCGUGAGCGAAGAAGUAUUUCGGUAUGUAAAGCUCUAUCAGCAGGGAAGAAAAUGACGGUACCUGACUAAGAAGCACCGGCUAAAUACGUG